UGGGGAAUUUUGGACAAUGGGCGAAAGCCUGAUCCAGCCGUGCCGCGUGAGUGAAGAAGGCCUUCGGGUCGUAAAGCUCUUUCAGGUGGAAAGAAAACGCAUAGGUUAAUACCUUGUGCGGAUGACGGUACCAUCAGAAGAAGCACCGGCUAACUACGUGCCAGCAGCCGCGGUAAUACGUAGGGUGCGAGCGUUAAUCGGAAUUACUGGGCGUAAAGCGUGCGCAGGCGGUUAUGUAAGACAGAUGUGAAAUCCCCGGGCUCAACCUGGGAAUUGCAUUGGAGACUGCAAGGCUAGAAUCUGGCAGAGGGGGGUAGAAUUCCACGUGUAGCAGUGAAAUGCGUAGAUAUGCGGAGGAACACCGAUGGCGAAGGCAGCCUCCUGGGCCAGUACUGACGCUCAUGCACGAAAGCGUGGGGAGCAAACA
rnacentral:rRNA from 1 species